GUAUUUGGUGGCAAACCUUUAUUCUUUAGGUAGAUAUUUGAGGUGGCUCAGCAGAUUUAUAUGUUGCAGUAUCUGGAGAUUAAAGAAACAUUUGGAAAUGAUUCAGAGAUUUGAUUUUAUGAGUGAACGAAUGUCUUGGAGUAUCCACAGUGACUUACUGAGUAACCUGUUGCAGAGUCCCAGUUCAGCCAAACUGUUGAAUCAGCCAAUUCCCAUCCUUGAUGUGGAGAGUGAGUAUAUCUGUUCCCUGGCUUUGGAGUGCCUGGCCCAUCUCUUCAGUUGGAUUCCUCUGUCUGCCAGCAUCACCCCAUCCCUCCUUACCACCAUCUUCCACUUUGCACGAUUUGGCUGUGACAUCCGGGCCAGAAAGAUGGCGUCAGUUAAUGGCAGCAGCCAGAACUGUGUCUCGGGUCAGGAGCGCGGCCGGCUGGGGGUCCUGGCUAUGUCCUGCAUCAAUGAACUCAUGUCCAAGAACUGUGUGCCUAUGGAAUUUGAGGAGUAUUUACUGCGUAUGUUCCAGCAGACUUUCUACCUCCUGCAGAAA
rnacentral:sRNA from 1 species